AGGAGGAACAACCGCAGGGGUUGCUGCAGCUCUGGAGCCCUGGAGUCAGCCCCUGCAGUAAUUCCAGAGCUCUCCAUCUGCAGGGCCUGGAGGCUCUGGGGCCGC
rnacentral:pre_miRNA from 1 species